rnacentral:rRNA from 1 species
CCUACGUGUGGCAGCAGUGGGGAAUAUUGCACAAUGGGGGAAACCCUGAUGCAGCAACGCCGCGUGGGUGAAGAAGUAUUUCGGUAUGUAAAGCCCUAUCAGCAGGGAAGAGAAUGACGGUACCUGACUCAGAAGCCCCGGCUAACUACGUGCCAGAAGCCGCGGUAAUACGUAGUGGGCAAGCGUUAUCCGGAUUUACUGGGUGUAACGGGAGCGUAGACGGUUGUGCAAGUCUGAAGUGAAAGCCCGGGGUUCAACUGCGGAACGACUUUGGAAACUGUGUAACUGGGGUGCUGGAGAGGUAAGCGGAAUUCCGGGUGUAGCGGUGAAAUGCGUAGAGAUCAGGGGGAACACCGGCGGUGAGGGCGGCUUACUGGACAGUAACUGACGUUGAGUCUCGAAAGCGUGGGGAGCAAACAGGAUUAGAACCCCGGUAGUC